rnacentral:lncRNA from 1 species
CUUGAACCUGGGAGGUGGGGGUUGCAGUGAGCAGCUGAGAUCGCACCACUGCACUCCAACCUGGACAACAAGAGCAAAACUCCAUCAAAAAAAAAAAAAAGUCCGAGCAUGGGAGCAUGGUUGUGUGCACAUGUAGUCCCAGGUACUCAGGAGGCUGAGGUGGGAGGAUUGCUUAAGUCUGGGAGGUGGAGGCUGCAGUGAGCUAGGACAGCACUCCAGCCUGGGCAAGAGAGUAAGACCCCGUCUCAACAAAUAAAAAUAAUAAACAACAGCAGGCCCACGUGUGGCCCAGGGACAGGAGCCAAAACCCAGCGUGGGGUCGGACCCCUUCCUUGCACUUCGAGAGGAGGCUGGGCUCCCUAGCAGCCAGAGGGACAGGAGCACACACGACCCCCAACCCGGAGCCUGCUCAGCCGCUCUGUGAGUGUCCUGCCUUCAGAACUCUCCAGAAGCCUCUGUGACAGCAGCCACAGAGAAUCACUCAUCCGUUCACCCGGUAUCCCCUGAGUACCCGCGAUGGGUCACAGCCAGGCUGGGGACCCCUGGCGUCCACAUGAGACACACGGAGCCGGGGACCCAUGCCAGCUGUGUUGCACAGCC